UCCCUUAUGAGAUAUUGCAUGAUUGGACCGUUAUUGAGAAGGUUUGGGUAAUUUGUUCAAGUUGUUGUUUGAUUUUGGCUUAUUGGAUUUGCUUUUGUUUUUAAUCAUCAGCAUUUCGAGCCUGCAGAAGUUGGAAUACUGGCCAUAUGCUUUUGCAUGCCACUUGUUUCGAUUCGAGUUGGCAAGAUAGACAAGCAAGGGACUCUUCUUUGCCCCACAUCAACAAGGAGAUCAUGUUGUCAGUCUUCUUUGCAAGCAGCCAGUUUAAAAUAUUCUAGAUGAAAGUAUUUGACACAUAUUGAUAUACCAGUAAGUUUGUGUAAAGUAAACGUCAGAUGCUGGACCGUAACAGUUUUUUUUGUUUUCUGAUGUAGUUCUCUUCUUGUUGGAAUUUUUUUGGAUACAUAUGGAUAUAGGUAUUGAUGGCAGUAAUAUUGGCUGAUGGACAGUAGUUUAUGUUUACCCUACUAUUUUCUCUCUUCAUAAUGGGAGAUUUACCCUCUUGACAAUUAUGUCAUAGCAUCAGAGUCUUCGAAUUGAGCAGUUCUUGAAUGUCGUUUGUGAGAUUAUUUUCCAAGAAAUGGUGGAUAUUACUUGAAUAAUAUCAACUUUGCAUAUAGUCCAUGAUAUCACUGGAAAUAAUCUUAAGUUGAGGAUUUAAUGUUGUAGCUUCUUGUUGGUAUCCA